rnacentral:lncRNA from 1 species
AUGCGCGGCGGCAGCGGCGAAGGCGCGGGGCGGGGCGGGGUGUCGGGCGCCCCUGGCUCCCAGCGCGGGCGUUCGCUCAGACUGUGGCUCUCCCUCGCUCGCGCAGCACGUGGGCCAAUGCGCCGGCGCCUGCUCGCCGCGGCUCUCUGCAGUGCGGACUCGGGGCGGGGGCGCGGCGGCGAUGCAGCGCGGACCCCUCCGCGUCGUCCGGGAGACCGCAGAGCCAUUGGCGCGGACGGGUCACGAGGCCGGGCUCUCGCCACCGCCCCUAGGGGCCCCAGGUCCCCGGGUGACGUCACCUGCUCCUCUCCCCUAGCCCCCCCGCCACGGGGGCCCCCGGGCACACAAGCGCCCGCCCACCCCCACCCCCACUGCGGUGUCCAAAGGUCUGUGGCGGCCAGUCCCAGUGCCUUUGGCUCUCACCACAGCGGUUCCUGGUCCGGGCUCCUGCCCCUCCCGCACGUGCCACGGAGGUGCCAGCAGGGCGAGGGGUCUGCACCCCGGCAUGCCCACCAGAGGGCCAGGGAGUGGUUUGCGGUGCGCCAGGCAGCUCUGCGUUCUGGCCAGGGUCAGGGAGCCGGGUUCUGGGGUCUGUUCACCUGCUCUUGUCCUCCCCCUCCCCGUCCAGGACUGGUCCUCUGGCUGGAGAGGCCAGGCGAGGCCAGGGGCACCUGGUGCCGGUGCCAUCCGUGCAGGAGAUGCCCCAGGCACUCACGCAGCUCACGCACACCACCCCAAGGAGGGUCUACCAUCUCCCUGCUGUCCGUCCCACUGCUGGGACCUGCAGCCCUCCAGCCAAAGCGCUUCGCUGCCCAGGUGCUAGUGGACAGGUUUACCGGGGCCUUUCCGGUUUUACGUGCUGCAAAUCUAGUUACUUGGGAAACCACUUCCAGGGCUUGGAGCCCAAUCCCUUGGGCCUGCCCUUCCUUGGCAGCCGUGCGCCAUGGGUUCUAUUGUAUCUGUUUGAUCCCAGGGCAGCAGCCAAAUGAAGAAGGGAGUGACUGCCCCUCAGGCAGUGGGCCCAGAUGUUCUGUGGGUCCUGCCUGCUCUGCCAGCCGCAUGCUCAACUCCCGUUCACACAGCUUCAGCUCCUUUCCAAACACACAGAGGGGCUUGUGGUUGAUUUUCAGGCCAGGUUCACCCAUCCAGCCAAGUCUGGGAGGCCACCUUGCAGUGAGUGGGGCACAAAACUGUCCAGACUUCCUGUACCACCCUGAGUUGGUCAGUGUUCUGCUUGUCAGCCUGGCACUUGUCAGGGACCAAGAAGAAAUGGCCCCAGGGGCUUUUCCCUGGUCAGACAGAAUUCCUAAAAUAUCUUUACAGGAGUUAUUUCAUUUACUCCUCACCAGAACUCUGAGACAGGUAUUAACAUUAUCCUGA